CAAUAUAAUGAACGCCAUCAUGGGCUAUGCAGUUCCAACUGUCAUACAGCCUGCAUGAGAAUAAAAGCAAGAGACUGUUUAACAUGCGGCUAUGCAGAGUGGGAACAGAUGGUGCCUGAGAGACGCAGAGAUCGACAUCAAUCAAGCGCAAGACUUCAUAAGAAUGUGGCUGGCAGGCGCCGUCGACUGUGCUAAUAGCAGAAGGCGGCGUUACGCCGAAGCGGCUCAACCCGUUCAGCAUCUUCAAGUGCCGCUUUUGCGAGCCCAGCCUCAACCCCCCGCAGCGUCAUAAACAAAGCUUUCGUAGGUGGCCCACAGGAUUGGGGAUACGAGCGACAAUCUGUAUCAACCUAUUUUAAGACCAAUAAAGAAAUUAUGUAUCAUUA